rnacentral:rRNA from 1 species
ACGAACGCUGGCGGCGUGCUUAACACAUGCAAGUCGAACGGUGAAGCGCCUUCCUUUUUGGUGGGUGUGGAUGAGUGGCGAACGGGUGAGUAACACGUGAGUAACCUGCCCCCUUCUUCUGGAUAACCGCAUGAAAGUGUGGCUAAUACGGGAUAUUCUGGGUCUGUCGCAUGAUGGGUCUGGGAAAGAUAUUGUUUCGGUGGGGGAUGGGCUCGCGGCCUAUCAGCUUGUUGGUGGGGUGAUGGCCUACCAAGGCGGUGACGGGUAGCCGGCCUGAGAGGGUGGACGGUCACACUGGGACGGAGACACGGCCCAGACUCCGACGGGAGGCAGCAGUGGGGAAUAGUGCACAAUGGGCGCAAGCCUGAUGCAGCGACGCCGCGUGAGGGAUGGAGGCCUUCGGGUUGUGAACCUCUUUCGCCAGUGAAGCAGGCCUGCCUCGUUUGUGGGUGGGUUGACGGUAGCUGGAUAAGAAGCGCCGGCUAACUACGUG